ACCUGCCCUAUGAUUAAAAAUUAAAUGGCUGCGGUAUUUUGACCGUGCAAAGGUAGCAUAAUAAUUAGUUUUUUAAUUGGGAACUGGUAUGAAAGGUCGAACGAGAAAGAGACUGUCUCAAUUUAAUUUAAAUUAGAAUUUUAUUUUUAAGUAAAAAAGCUUAAAUAUAUUUAAAAGACGAGAAGACCCUAUAGAGUUUUAUAUUAAGAUAAUUAUAUGGGAAAUUAAAGGAUUAGUUUUUUUUUAUAAUUAUUAAAAUAUUUGGUUGGGGCGAUUAAAAAAUUUAAUGAACUUUUUUUAAAUUAUAACAUUGAUUUAUGAAUAAGUGAUCCAUAUUUAAUGAUUAUAAGAUUA
rnacentral:rRNA from 1 species